rnacentral:rRNA from 1 species
GACGAACGCUGGCGGCGUGCUUUACACAUGCAAGUCGAACGGAGUGGCGAACGGGUGAGUAACACGUGGGUGAUCUGCCCUGCACUUCGGGUUAAGCUUGGGAAACUGGGUCGAAUACCGGAGUGUGCAAGAUGAGCUCGCGGCCUAUCAGCUUGUUGGUGGGGUAAUGGCCUACUACGGCGCCGACUGGUAGGCGGCCUGAGAGGGUGUACGGCCACAUUGGGACUGAGAUACGGCCCAGACUCCUACGUUAGGCAGCAGUGUGGAGUUUUGCGCAAUGGGCGGAAGCCUGAUGCAGCGACGCCGCGUGGGGGAUGAAGGCCUUCGGGUUAUAAACUCCUUUCGACAGGGACGCGGUACCUGUAUAAGAAGCACCGGCUAACUACGUGCCAGCAGCCGCGGUAAUUC